AAGUCUUAUCUCAAGUCGCUGCAUUCUCGGCUGAAGCAUGUAAACAAAUCGGCACUGCUGCGACUUUUGACGGCGAUUAAAAGAGACGUUAUUGGAUCAUGCGACAGCAGUCCGCCGGUAGCCGGAGCCAGCCGCGGUCUCGCACACGACGUGGGGUUUCUGUCGAUGGUCAAGGAACGAAAGGCGCUACGGUCAGCCGGGUGAUGCCUGCCGUUGCCGGAAGUCAGGUGGAUAGAGCGAGCUCGGGCGUGUAAGAAGUCGCUCAAGGAUGACCAGGCACCACAAGGAAGUGAACAAAGGGCAAGCAAACGAAGGGCAAGCGCACUUUGACUGUUGCACUUAUUGUUCAUAAAUGAU